GACGAACGCUGGCGGCGCGCCUAACACAUGCAAGUCGAACGAGCGAGAGAGAGCUUGCUUUCUCGAGCGAGUGGCGAACGGGUGAGUAACGCGUGAGGAACCUGCCUCAAAGAGGGGGACAACAGUUGGAAACGACUGCUAAUACCGCAUAAGCCCACGGCUCGGCAUCGAGCGGGGGGAAAAGGAGCAAUCCGCUUUGAGAUGGCCUCGCGUCCGAUUAGCUAGUUGGUGGGGUAACGGCCCACCAAGGCGACGAUCGGUAGCCGGACUGAGAGGUUGAACGGCCACAUUGGGACUGAGACACGGCCCAGACUCCUACGGGAGGCAGCAGUGGGGAAUAUUGCACAAUGGGGGAAACCCUGAUGCAGCGACGCCGCGUGGAGGAAGAAGGUCUUCGGAUUGUAAACUCCUGUUGUUGGGGAAGAUAAUGACGGUACCCAACAAGGAAGUGACGGCUAACUACGUG
rnacentral:rRNA from 1 species